UCCCAUAUAGUGUAGAGGUUUAGCAUUCCGGAUUUUCAAGUCUCUACUUGGUACUUCCGGCGACCCGGGUUCGAACCCCGGUAUGGGAA